UACGGGGGGAGCAAGCGUUGUUCGGAUUUACUGGGUGUAAAGGGCGCGUAGGCGGCCUGUGCAAGUCAGUUGUGAAAUCUCCGAGCUUAACUCGGAACGGUCAACUGAUACUGCUCGGCUAGAGUGCGGAAGGGGCAACUGGAAUUCUUGGUGUAGCGGUGAAAUGCGUAGAUAUCAAGAGGAACACCUGCGGCGAAGGCGGGUUGCUGGGCCGACACUGACGCUGAGGCGCGAAAGCUAGGGGAGCGAACGGG
rnacentral:rRNA from 1 species